rnacentral:rRNA from 1 species
UGCCAGCAGCCGCGGUAAUACGUAGGUGGCGAGCGUUGUCCGGAAUUACUGGGCGUAAAGGGUGCGUAGGCGGCUCUCUAAGUGGGAUGUGAAAUCCAUGGGCUUAACCCAUGAACUGCAUUCCAAACUGGAGAGCUAGAGUGCAGGAGAGGAAAGCGGAAUUCCCAGUGUAGCGGUGAAAUGCGUAGAUAUUGGGAGGAACACCAGUGGCGAAGGCGGUUUUCUGGACUGUAACUGACGCUGAGGCACGAAAGCGUGGGGAGCAAACAGGAUUAGAUA